UACGUAGGGUGCGAGCGUUGUCCGGAAUUAUUGGGCGUAAAGAGCUUGUAGGCGGUUUGUCGCGUCUGCCGUGAAAAUUCGAGGCUCAACCUCGAACUUGCGGUGGGUACGGGCAGACUAGAGUGUGGUAGGGGAGACUGGAAUUCCUGGUGUAGCGGUGAAAUGCGCAGAUAUCAGGAGGAACACCGGUGGCGAAGGCGGGUCUCUGGGCAGUAACUGACGCUGAGGAGCGAAAGCGUGGGGGAGCGAACAGG
rnacentral:rRNA from 1 species